rnacentral:rRNA from 1 species
GACAGAGGUGCCGAGCGUUAGGCGGAAUCACUGGGCUUAAAGCGUGUGUAGGCGGAUCGUUAAGUGCCUUGUGAAAUCCCACGGCUCACCCGUGGAACUGCUGGGCAUACUGGCGGUCUUGAGCCACCUAGGGGCAACCGGAACAAACGGUGGAGCGGUGAAAUGCGUAGAUAUCGUUGGAACCGCCAAUGGUGAAAACAGGUUGCUGGGGGGUGUGCUGACGCUGAGACACGAAAGCCAGGGAGCAAACAGG